GACGAACGCUGGCGGCGUGCCUAAUACAUGCAAGUCGAACGCACAGUUUAUACCGUAGCUUGCUACACCAUAGACUGUGAGUUGCGAACGGGUGAGUAACGCGUAGGUAACCUGCCUGGUAGCGGGGGAUAACUAUUGGAAACGAUAGCUAAUACCGCAUAAUAUUGAUUAUUGCAUGAUAAUUAAUUGAAAGGUGCAAUUGCACCACUACCAGAUGGACCUGCGUUGUAUUAGCUAGUAGGUGAGGUAACGGCUCACCUAGGCGACGAUACAUAGCCGACCUGCGAGGGUGAUCGGCCACACUGGGACGGUGACCCGCCCCAGACUCCUACGGGAGGCAGCAGUAGGGAAUCGUCGGCAAUGGGCGAAAGUCUGACCGAGCAACGCCGAGUGAGUGAAGAAGGUUUUCGGAUCGGAAAGCUCUGUUGUAAGAGAAGAACGGGUGUGAGAGUGGAAAGUUCACACUGUGACGGUAUCUUACCAGAAAGGGACGGCUAACUACGUG
rnacentral:rRNA from 1 species